AUGUAAGAAACUUUUCAUUUUUUAGGUUCAUUCAAUAAAUGAUGUAUGUAGUCCAUAUUAUAAACCACAUACAUCAUUUAUUGAGUGAACCUAAAAAGUGAAAAGUUUCUUACAU
rfam:Medicago truncatula strain A17 chromosome 1, whole genome shotgun sequence.